AGUGAACGCUGGCGGUAGGCCUAACACAUGCAAGUCGAACGGCAGCACAGUAAGAGCUUGCUCUUACGGGUGGCGAGUGGCGGACGGGUGAGGAAUACAUCGGAAUCUACUUUUUCGUGGGGGAUAACGUAGGGAAACUUACUCUAAUACCGCAUCCGACCUACGGGUGAAAGCAGGGGAUCUUCUGACCUUGCGCGAUUGAAUGAGCCGAUGUCGGAUUAGUUAGUUGGCGGGGUAAAGGCCCACCACGGCGACGAUCCGUAGCUGGUCUGAGAGGAUGAUCGGCCACAUUGGAGCUGAGACACGGUCCGGACUCCUACGGGAGGCAGCAGUGGGGAAUAGUAGACAAUGGGCGCAAGCCUGAUCCAGCCAGACCGCGUGGGUGAAGGAGGCCUUCGGGUUGUAAAGCCCUUUUGUUGGGAAAGAAAAGCAGCAGGUUAAUACCCCGCUGUUCUGACGGUACCCAAUGAAUAAGCACCGGCUAACUUCGUG
rnacentral:rRNA from 1 species